rnacentral:rRNA from 1 species
AGAGUUUGAUCAUGGCUCAGGACGAACGCUGGCGGCGCGCCUAACACAUGCAAGUCGAGGGAGAACCAGGCUUCGGCCUGGGGAGACCGGCGAACGGGUGAGUAACACGUGAGGAACCUGCCCUGUAGACCGGAAUAACCGCGGGAAACUGCGGCUAAUGCCGGAUGAGCUCUGCACACCACAUGGGGUGCGGAGGAAAUGGCCAGCCGCUACAGGAUGGCCUCGCGGCCUAUCAGCUUGUUGGUGGGGUAACGGCCCACCAAGGCGACGACGGGUAGCUGGCGUGAGAGCGCGACCAGCCACACUGGGACUGAGACACGGCCCAGACUCCUACGGGAGGUAGCAGUGGGGAAUCUUGCGCAAUGGGCGAAAGCCUGACGCAGCGACGCCGCGUGCGGGAAGAAGGCCUUCGGGUUGUAAACCGCUUUCAGCAGGGAAGAAGCGAAAGUGACGGUACCUGCAGAAGAAGGACCGGCCAACUACGUGCCAGCAGCGGCGGUAAUAC